CGGAGGGUGCGAGCGUUGUCCGGAAUCACUGGGCGUAAAGGGCGCGUAGGCGGUCUGUUAAGCGUGUGGUGAAAGCUCGGGGCUCAACCCCGAGUCUGCCAUGCGAACUGGUGGACUUGAGCACUGUAGAGGCAGGUGGAAUUCCGGGUGUAGCGGUGGAAUGCGUAGAGAUCCGGAAGAACACCGGUGGCGAAGGCGGCCUGCUGGGCAGUUGCUGACGCUGAGGCGCGACAGCGUGGGGAGCAAACAGGAUUAGAUACCCUGGUAGUCCACGCCGUAAACGAUGGGCACUAGGUGCUUGGGGGAGCGACCCCCCGAGUGCCGGCGCUAACGCAUUAAGCGCCCCGCCUGGGGAGUACGACCGCAAGGUUG
rnacentral:rRNA from 1 species